rnacentral:rRNA from 1 species
GAUGAACGCUGGCUACAGGCUUAACACAUGCAAGUCGAGGGGAAACGACGGGGAAGCUUGCUUCCCAGGGCGUCGACCGGCGCACGGGUGAGUAACGCGUAUCCAACCUGCCUCUGACUGAGGGAUAACCCGUCGAAAGUCGGCCUAAUACCUCAUGGCAUCGUCUGCGGGCAUCCAACGACGAUUAAAGAUUUCAUCGGUCAGGGAUGGGGAUGCGUCUGAUUAGCUUGUUGGCGGGGUAACGGCCCACCAAGGCUACGAUCAGUAGGGGUUCUGAGAGGAAGGUCCCCCACAUUGGAACUGAGACACGGUCCAAACUCCUACGGGAGGCAGCAGUGAGGAAUAUUGGUCAAUGGGCGGGAGCCUGAACCAGCCAAGUAGCGUGCAGGAUGACGGCCCUAUGGGUUGUAAACUGCUUUUAUGCGGGGAUAAAGUGAGGGACGUGUCCUUCAUUGCAGGUACCGCAUGAAUAAGGACCGGCUAAUUCCGUG